AAACAAUUUUGCUCCUCUUGAUUGGCCGAACCAGCCAGGUCGACUUGGUCAUUGUUUUGAUAGCCGGGUCACACCAAUUACUUGUCUUGGACAAUUACAAAUUCAAACUGAUUUAGCGUAUAGUUCACUAGUCCAACUGGCCAGUCCAAGUUUAAUAACUAUGGAUAAGAAGAUCAACCAUAGUGCUCAACCCCAGACAUUAAGUUGAUGAUUCAUGACAUUGAACUAUCAACCUUCAUCCAACAAACCAGCAUGGCUACAAGCGGAUAGAACCAAAACAAAAGUUAUGUAAUUUGGUUUGACCCCAGCCCCUAUCACCUUGUAGAAUACAUCCAGAGCUUCUCUUACAUAGCCAUGCAUUCCAUAUCCUGCAACCAUGACAGUCCAUGACUUCACAUUCUUGUCCUUCAUGCAAUUAAAUGCUUUCCUUGCCAUUUCAACCCAUAAUCACAUUAUCUUCCCAACCCAUCCUGAUCAUGCAUACACUUCGCUACACGCAGAACCCCGGUAUGUGCACAAGCUAACAACAAAGUAGAUAAUGUAUCAUCACAUGAAAAGGAAUGAAAAGCCUCACUGGAUAACCCAUGUUGGGCAUACACGGCAAUCGUAGAAUUCCAGAAAACUGAAUCCUUCUCAGCUCUUCCUUCAAAUACCUUCCUACUCUCCUAGACACAUCCACUUCACCACACUUUGGAUACGCAUCAACACCCAAUUCUUUAUUCAACCCCCUCUUUAAAACACGCAUGAACUUCCUCAAUCACUCCUUUCCCAGAGACACGAGAACACGCCGAUAAAACAGAAACCAUAGAAAUUAAAUCCAUAAAAACCUCGGUGUUCUCACCAUUUCUCUCACUCUCCUCAAUCAAGAACUCAUUAAAACGCAAUAACGCUUCGUAAGUAUUAUCAUUUUUGACAUACCCAGUGAUCAUCGACGUCCUCGUCACAAUGCCUCUUUGAGGAAUUUCAUCGAACAGGAUUCUAAUCGGCCAUAUUUCGAGCACAUAUCAUCGAAGCUGAUGACACGGUCAAAGUGUUUGUUGAAGCAGGAUUUGAGGAGAAUUUGGUUGUGGUUGAAUGGUGGGUGACUAUGGAUUUUGCAAUGGACUCUGACUAGAAGCAGAAAUGAAUUGGCG
rnacentral:misc_RNA from 1 species